ACUUAUACAAUAGACAUUCCCCUUGUUGUAGAUAGCGUUAUUUAUUAUGUUCACUGUGAUAUCACUUAGUUUCAGCUUGCUAUAACAUAUUUUAUGUCGACAGGACAUCCUCAAUCAACUUAAAAUCCUCAACGACACGCAACAAAAAAAAUUUGAACUUUUAAAGGAGAACAACGUCAUGUUGGCGAAUAGUAUUCCUUUGGUGGAGACGGAGAACAUAGAAAACUUGGAGGAUACUGAAAUAAUGGAAGAGGAAGACGUUUAAUAGUAUCUAAAAAAUGUGACUUCAUUUUUUCACACUUCUUCAUGAAAGGCGUUAUGUUUGUCUACACUCAAGUACCUAUACAAUUGUGUUUUUAGCUAGUAAUAAAAACUAAAAAAUUACAUAUAUCUUAAAUAACUCAAUUCUAAUAUCACAGAGUUUAUCUUAUUAGUCCCUUAUACCCUUAGAGCAUUUGAU